UACGUAGGGUCCGAGCGUUGUCCGGAAUUAUUGGGCGUAAAGGGCUCGUAGGCGGUUUGUCACGUCGGGCGUGAAAACUCAGGGCUCAACCCUGAGCGUGCGUUCGAUACGGGCAGACUAGAGGUAUGCAGGGGAGAACGGAAUUCCUGGUGUAGCGGUGGAAUGCGCAGAUAUCAGGAGGAACACCGGUGGCGAAGGCGGUUCUCUGGGCAUUACCUGACGCUGAGGAGCGAAAGCGUGGGGAGCGAACAGG
rnacentral:rRNA from 1 species